UACGUAGGGUGCGAGCGUUAAUCGGAAUUACUGGGCGUAAAGCGUGCGCAGGCGGUUCGUUGUGUCGGUGGUGAAAUCCCCGGGCUUAACCUGGGAAUGGCCAUGGAAACUGGCGAACUGGAGUGCGGCAGAGGGGGGUGGAAUUCCGCGUGUAGCAGUGAAAUGCGUAGAGAUGCGGAGGAACACCGAUGGCGAAGGCAGCCCCCUGGGCUAGCACUGACGCUAAGGCACGAAAGCGUGGGGAGCAAACAGG
rnacentral:rRNA from 1 species